CCUACGGGCGGCAGCAGUGAGGAAUAUUGGUCAAUGGGCGCAAGCCUGAACCAGCCAAGUAGCGUGCAGGAUGACUGCCCUAUGGGUUGUAAACUUCUUUUAUACGGGGAUAAAGUCCAGUACGUGUACUGCUCUGCAUGUACCUUAUGAAUAAGGAUCGGCUAACUCCGUGCCAGCAGCCGCGGUAAUACGGAGGAUCCGAGCGUUAUCCGGAUUUAUUGGGUUUAAAGGGAGCGUAGGCGGGCGGUUAAGUCAGUUGUGAAAGUGUGCGGCUCAACCGUGAAAUUGCAGUUGAUACUGGCAGCCUUGAGGACAGUAGAGGUAGGCGGAAUUCGUGGUGUAGCGGUGAAAUGCAUAGAUAUCACGAGGAACCCCGAUUGCGAAGGCAGCCUACCGUGGCGCUACUGACGCUGAGGCUCGAAGGUGCGGGUAUCAAACAGGAUUAGAUACCCUUGUAGUC
rnacentral:rRNA from 1 species